rnacentral:lncRNA from 1 species
AUGUUCAUAGGUUUUGAUACCAUAUUGGAUUCAAUUAUUAUUGUGUUUCACUUUGCAUGUUUUGACUUCCCGAAUAAACUAGGUUAUUCUUCCGGAAUGACUAAGUUAUUCAAACCAUCCACAGUCGGUCAUAUGUUGGAAGUAGAUAUGAAUUAAGACUGUCAUGGGUUGGCUUGUAGAGGUCUAAGGUGUUGGACAAAGGGCUACAACACUCAUGAGUGCUCAUAAGUUCUGAGUAUUGGAUUCAACCCGCGCUCAUUGGAAUCACUUCAUGGAUUUUAUCACGAGUGAUCAUGAGACGAUAAUAUCUUAUAUUCUUCAAACCUAGAGAUAUGAGUUGUUACUAUGAGUUGAUAGUACAUUGAUUGCACGAAAACGCAUUUGGUAACUCGGUGCUAUAAAACGUGUCUUUGUGUAUGAUUCAACAAGUAGUAGAACAAGCCAUAUGAGUCGAAGUUUAUCCAUUCCUUUUACCUUCGGGAUAAAAGCGAUAUCUGUGGGCCCCUCGAUGAUUUGAUGAUGACAAAUGGAAGUGCUCGGCCGGGCCAGGACUGAUUUGAUUUGUUCAAUUAGUCAGUCGUCAUAAAUCGGAAAUCGGGAAACAACAAAUGGACAGAGAGAAUGAUUAUAAUCCAUGUCUCAGUCCAUAUGAUAUCUAGAAUGGAGGAAUAUAUGAUCCCUUAUCUAAUGGACAAGUCAUUGACAAAGGUCAGAGUUCAUCUACAAGGUCAGAGUUCGACAGAAGCUUUUGAGAGCUACGAUUGCCAGUUGGUUCCUGAAGUCAUACGCAAUAAUAGUUUUAGACUUAUCCAAGUGGGAGACUGUUGGAUUAAUGUCUAAGUCCAUAACUAUAAUUGGUAAGACUUGACCCGACCCGGCAUGGUCCAUUUGGGUUGCAUACCAUCAUGCACUUGGAUAGACUAUAAUGAGAGAAAUAAGACACUUAUGGUUAUUAAUAUAUUAUAAGUUCUAGUAUAUUAAUAAUAAGAAUAAUAAGAUUAUUUAAUUAGUAUUGAUCAAGAAUUAAUCUAGGAUUAAUUAAGUGAUCAAAAGAAGACUAAUUAAAUAUAUGGGUUGAUUGUGUAAAUCAUCCAUACUUGUAUAGUGGGCUAAUGCUCCAUGGAUAAUCAAGUUGGGCUAAAACCCAUAGGAUGGUCCAUGGAUGCUCCAUGGUGUAUUUGUACCCAUGGAUCCAAGGAAAUGGAAAGCCAUGACAAUUAAGAGUUUACCCUAAUUGUGUAACUAUAUAAGCAUCUUAUUAUUGAGGAAAAAUCGGCCACUAGUAGUAUUCAAGAAAGGGCUAGCCGAUUUUGGUGAGUGUAGAAUUCUCUCAAGUCAUUCUAAGUGUUUUGAUGAUUGUGAUUCCAUUUGAGGUGUCACACUUGGGGCACUAAGCACUCAAGCUUCAUGAAGACUUUCUACAUCAAGAGGUAUGUAUUCUAUCUUGUUACAUUAUUGUUUUGUAUGCUAGAUUAGGAUAAUACCUUGGAAGUUCUUAUUUGCAUGUAUAAUAGAGAAAACAUAGAUCCAAGGUAUUUAGGGUUGCAUGUACACUUAGGAGUGUUAGAAUGCUCAAAACCCAACAGUGGUAUCAGAGCCUAGGCUUGUUUUCUUGUUAUACCUGCAAUAGAAGCUGAAAAAACGAAUCUGGUGCUGUCUGGCCAUCAGACUCGGCGAGUCCAUCAGGAGACUCGACGAGUCCAUGCCUAAAAAGUGAUGAAUUCGAUCCAACUCGCCGAGUUUGUUCAUGCACUCGACGAGUUGGACCCCCAGACAGCAUAUUUUCGAGUUUUUUGGCUAGAAAUGGACUAGGAACAUUACCCUAAGUUGUUUUUGAACUUAUAAACUUGUUUUUGAUGUGGUAAUGUUCAUGCUAAUCCAUUUUCAAAGAUAAUUGUCAAUAGAUUCAUGUUUUGUAUUAGUUUAAGGUUUAGACUAAUUACAUGAAAAAGUUUGAUUUGAAUUAUCUUGUUCUUAUGAGUUGCUUAGAUUAAUAGAAAUGUUGAGUGAAAUAGUUGUUUUCAAUCCAUUUUAAUCUAAGAGUUGAGUAUAAAAUGUGUUUGUGUAACUUGUCCUCAAGUUACAUGAAGAGUCACAUUAAAGACUCAUAAAACUCAUAAGAGUUGGCAAUGGUUACAAAAUGAAGAGUCUUGUGUCAUUGAAUAAUUUUUUUUGACUCCAUAACUUGUCCUCAAGUUAUGGAAGUUCAAGAGUCACUUCAUUAAAGAAAAAUAUGUAACCAUAAUUAAAUCCAUAAGUUAUAAAAUAAAGAAAAAGUUAGUUCUUUUAUUAGUUUAAAGUCUUCCAUAACUUGUCCUCAAGUUAUGGAACUUGAAGAGUUUUUGGAUUAAAACUACUUUAAACACAUAAGUUAUGGAAUUAAUUAGUUUUGAAUAGUUUCAAAACUUGCCCUCAAGUUUUGGAAUUUGAAAAGUUUUCAAGUAUGAAUACUUUAAUUCCAAGUUAGCCCUUAGAAUUUUAAAAGUUAAAAUUCAACCCUUAUACUUUAUAAUAUUAUAAGUUAAUAAUAUAUAUAUGUAUAAGAGUAAAGUCAGUCUUACCGCUAGUACGCCUCAUUCACGAAGCCGGUCUAUAAGGUGGGUAUAAGGUUGUUGCCUAUAAAAUGGCAACUUAAUGGGUGUCCACUCUCACCCACCGCUUGCUUGACUGGUGGAGGGUCGUUAGCCGAACGGGUUUGACAGGACUAGAAUUCUCCCUUCAUUAAAAGUAUUAAUGAUAAUACUAAGUAACUAAACUCUUAAUAAUACCCAAUCUUAGUUACUUAGGAAAAAUGUGAAUAAGGUGCUAAUCCAUGAAAUUACACUUUACACUUUGUCUAAGUCGUUAGUGGAGCGUGUGUGGUUAACCGGCACACUAACUUGGACUUAACAAGGUAGGUAAAGGGUGACUUAAUAUUUAUCAUAGUAUCGAUGGAGCGUGUGUGGUUAACCGGCACAUCGAUUGAGGGGUAAUUUAUUAAGGGUACCAAGUGAUUUGCAUGGUUACUUCACACCUUGUUUUGUGAUCCUCGGCAUCCCAGUCACAAAACCUGAAGGGCACACUCGAGAUUGAAACAUGCCUUUGAAAAGUUCAAUGAAUCUCAAAGAUCUAGGAGUUUCAAAACCAAUUAAAACCUAAUAAUACAUUUCGUUUAUCUUGGUGGAAAUUGGUGAAUCGUCAUUCACCUACCUUCAAAUAUUUUAUAGCUUGGAUUACGGCAUACCUCUUCUAAGUUAUAAAAUAGUUUGUUGGGUCCUAGCCUUAAUAUUUCAUAUUGGGUGUCAUAUUAAGGACUUUAAAUCAACUAUCUUGAAUAUCUCCCAAAAGAUGUCUGGUUUAGACACCUAUGAUCUUCCCAAAUCUCUUGAAACAAGGUUUCCUAAUGAAGAUGAUGUCCCAUGGAUAUCAUACUUCUUCACCUCUUCAAAUUAUUCUCCCUAACCCACAAGUUCUUGAAAAGUUUAAGGUCACUCAGGCCCUAUUGGCAAGGCAAGGUCUAGGUGUGGUCACAUCUUGGAGAUGUAGUCACAUAUUGACAAGCCGGGAGAGUUGGGUGUCAAAGUCUUGAGAAAGUUGGUGGUUCAACCACUUUCUAAGUCACAUAGUGAGUUCCUUUGGGACACCUAUGAAACAGACUAUGACAAGACCCUUAAUGAUCUUAUCUAUUUGCUAAGAUCAACUUCCUAAAACUUUAUGGACAUUGACAAUGAUGACAUUGGAUAUCCAGUAAAGCAUUCUCUUCCCAAUGGAAAGGGAUCGGCCAUAGUCAACUCGGUUGACCAAAUGGUAAAGAGAAAAGCUAAGUCUGUGAUAGUCCCGUGUACCAUUAUCAAAGGGUCCAUAUGUUUAUAUUGCCAAAGGAAGGGGCAUUGGUUGCGAAGCUGCCAAAUUUACCUAAGGAUGUUAAAGUCAAUAAGUUUGACUCUACUUCAGGUAAAGUCCACUAUCUAACUCUGUUAAGUUUCUAUUCUGAGAUUCUUGAUACAUGAUGUGACUGGGUCACAUGGUGAUGUUUUAAGAAUCAAAGAAAAGUGAAGAAACUUAAAGAAAGAAUAUGCUGAAUCUGAUGGCGUAGAUGGAUUUCUAUCGCAUAGUUUGAAGAUCGGAUUCUUGAGCUACUUCUUAGGAGUUAUGAGAUAUUGCUUAGGAAUAGAUAACAACAAGUUUUCAUAUGGAUUGUAAGGAUAAGUUUUUCCGCAAAGUUUUAAAAUAAAAGAAAAUUUUUUAUAUUUUAUUUAUUUUAAAAUAUCCUUACAAUGGCAUUUGAGGAAAAAUUGUUGCUUAUAUGAUUCCAUUAAGAGCAAGAGUGGAAAUAUGAAAUUGAUUCUUUCAUUUGUGGUAAUGUCUAAAUUUACCAAAUAAGGAAAGAUUCUCAUCACCCAAGUUUCAAUUGGACCGGAACUUGGAAUCAUGCAAGUUGUAUAGCAUGAUGAAUGAGAACUUUCAAGUUUUGGAAAAUUAAGACUAAUUACUUGUUCACAUGGAUGUGUGAGUCAAGUAAAGGACUUAGGGAUCGAGUACACAUUCUUGUGCACUGAUUAAGUCCACCACUAAAGAUCGAUAAGAAGAAUCAAAUAAGGCAGAAGGAUAAAAGUUUCUCAAAUCUGAAAAGAUGGGAGAGUACUUUAGUAUCAGUUUUGUGAUCAUCUUAAUGAUUAAGAAACCAUAUCAAAAUUAGUUCUCUAAGGAAAUCUUAGUGCAUUCUUAUGACUAAGAAGAGGAACUUGAAUUGUUGAAAUGGUUAAAUCAAGAAGAUGAGUCAUACUUCGUUCCAAUACAAGUCUUAGAGUCAUACUCCAAGAUUGUCAUUUGAGUGACAUGUCUUAAAGAAGGUUUAAAACACUUGUCAAAUGUAAGAGUAAAAGUUUUCUACUCUUGUACAUUUGAAAUUGGUAAGUUGUGAUGUUUUGGAUAAAACAAAGACCAACUUAGGCCAAUUGGGUAAAGUGUUUUUCUUGAUUAGAAUCCGCACUAUCUCUUGGAUGUUUGACAAGGGAGUCUUAUAUGUCAAGAGGACAGUGGGAGUCUUAAAGGUCUUGAAAGUCUCAAGAAAUAAUCAAGAAUAAAACCUAAAGUUCUUCACUAGCACACGACUUGAGGUUUAUAACCUAUCGUGUUGACAUAUCUGUGCCCAUUCCAGUUAAAGUUGGCUUUGCAUAUGAGUUCUUAGAGUUCUCAGUUUGUUGCAUAACAACUUGGAAGCAAUGGCAGGCCCUUGAGCUGCCAGGUGGCAAGAAGUUAAGAUUGAGUUCAAUCCAUAUGGUUUUGGAUUUGUCAUUAUCUUUGUCUUGUGAUUAUGGUUUGACAAAUUCAUAUGGGUAGGAACUCAUACACCAUAUAAAUCUAAGUGUCAUAAGGUUUCUCUCCGAUUCAUGAAAAUGAUGGUGAGGAAACGCUUUCACUAAGUAGAUUUUACGAAGAUAUCAAUUGUGUUAUUUGCAUUUUCAAAAGUCGUUAGUGGAGCGCGUGUGGUUAACCGGCACACUAACAUGGACUUGUGAGAAAUGGCAAAUGCCUAAGCAAUUGAGACCAUGAUUACGGUAUCCCUUUUCAUGGUUCUUGAAAUUGCUUAGACACACAGGUGAGCUAUCUACGGAAAGGGUGUAUGAAUCUAAAUUUCAGACUGUCCAGCUGAUUUCUGAGUACAUGUCAAAGCUAGUGGGAGCAUAAGUGUUAUGCUAAUAAUCAUCAUGUUAGUGGGAGCAUGAUAAUUAUGAUAAGUAUUGCAAGUUAGCAAUGUUAAUUAUAGAAAACAAAAGUUUCAAUUGGGAAAAAGUUGUUUUGCUAUAAUUAAGGGAGAGGAAAUUAUGCUUCAUCUCAAAUCUAUAAGCUUAGAUCGUGAGGUUUUAAUCAUUUAGUCAAGGAUAUAUAUGAAUUUCAUGUUGGAAUGGCUCAACAUAAGGAAAUUCUGUAUAUGGGUCCAUUAUUUGCGUUCUAAAAUUCGAUUAUGAUUACGGCAUCCCUUUUCAUAAUCUGAAUUAUGAGAACUUGGCAAAUUGAAAUGGAAAUAUUAUAGCAAAAGACUGGUUUAGUCUUUAUGUAAGACAUCAUGAAUCGUGUCCCAUAUGCUUCGGAUAUAGGAUCGAUUACAUGUGCUAUAUUCAUCCGUUCUAAAAUUUUCCAAAUGCCUGGGGCAUUAAGAAGGGAAAAGGUUUAGAACUGGAUAUGACUAAAAGGAUUAAACAAUUGUCGAGGACAAUCUAAGGUUUACCAAAGAUUGGUUACUCAAGGACAAUUGGAAGUAUAGUGAUAAUUCUGGAAGGACCAUAUUGACAUAAUCUGUAAGGAGGCAACUCUUGUUCAGAAGUGAUAGUCAAAAUGGAAUCUGGAAAUGUUUCAAAGUUAGAAUUUUCAAUCUGUGUAAGAUUAAGGAAACUUAAUGCAAGAAGGAUAUUUCCAAGGAGUUGAUCUCCUUUGGAAUACUCUGUAAUGAUUGUUGCCAAGUCUUUGUGACUUUGUGCAUAAUCAUUACAAGAGGAUCAAUGCAUAUAAGUUUAGAAUCUAACAGAUUUCAGUAAAUGGCAUGAAUUUGGAAUUCUUGCAUUUGCAGUAAGGAUUUGGGAGUGUGAAAAGAGAAUCAUUGAAGUUAUGUUCAAUUGAUCUAGUUCACAAAGUAAAGAUCAUAGACAAACAUAGUAUGCAUACUUGGUGUGUGGCAUGACUAGUGUUUAAGAAAACAUAGUGUACAUGCUUGGAGCAUGGGACAACUAUUGUUUUAAAUUCAAGAAUAAAGUUGAUAGCUGAAACAGUAUACAAUGAAUAAUGUGUAAUCAUAUGGUGAUAAAUAAAAGGUGUUUUAUUUAUGUUCAAAGGGUUGAUACCAUAUUGGAUUCAAUUAUUAUUGUGUUUCAUUUUGCAUGUUUUGACUUCCCGAAUAAACUGGGUUAUUCUUCCGGAAUGACUAAGUUAUUCAAACCAUCCACAGUCGGUCAUAUGUUGGAAGUAGAUAUGAAUUAAGACUGUCAUGGGUUGGCUUGUAGAGGUCUAAGGUGUUGGACAAAGGGCUACAACACUCAUGAGUGCUCAUAAGUUCUGAGUAUUGGAUUCAACCCGCGCUCAUUGGAAUCACUUCAUGGAUUUUAUCACGAGUGAUCAUGAGACGAUAAUAUCUUAUAUUCUUCAAACCUAGAGAUAUGAGUUGUUACUAUGAGUUGAUAGUACAUUGAUUGCACGAAAACGCAUUUGGUAACUCGGUGCUAUAAAACGUGCCUUUGUGUAUGAUUCAACAAGUAGUAGAACAAGCCAUAUGAGUCGAAGUUUAUCCAUUCCUUUUACCUUCGGGAUAAAAGCGAUAUCUGUGGGCCCCUCGAUGAUUUGAUGAUGACAAAUGGAAGUGCUCGGCCGGGCCAGGACUGAUUUGAUUUGUUCAAUUAGUCAGUCGUCAUAAAUCGGAAAUCGGGAAACAACAAAUGGACAGAGAGAAUGAUUAUAAUCCAUGUCUCAGUCCAUAUGAUAUCUAGAAUGGAGGAAUAUAUGAUCCCUUAUCUAAUGGACAAGUCAUUGACAAAGGUCAGAGUUCAUCUACAAGGUCAGAGUUCGACAGAAGCUUUUGAGAGCUACGAUUGCCGGUUGGUUCCUGAAGUCAUACGCAAUAAUAGUUUUAGACUUAUCCAAGUGGGAGACUGUUGGAUUAAUGUCUAAGUCCAUAACUAUAUUUGGUAAGACUUGACCCGACCCGGCAUGGUCCAUUUGGGUUGCAUACCAUCAUGCACUUGAAUGAGAGAAAUAAGACACUUAUGGUUAUUAAUAUAUUAUAAGUUCUAGUAUAUUAAUAAUAAGAAUAAUAAGAUUAUUUAAUUAGUAUUGAUCAAGAAUUAAUCUAGGAUUAAUUAAGUGAUCAAAAGAAGACUAAUUAAAUAUAUGGGUUGAUUGUGUAAAUCAUCCAUACUUGUAUAGUGGGCUAAUGCUCCAUGGAUAAUCAAGUUGGGCUAAAACCCAUAGGAUGGUCCAUGGAUGCUCCAUGGUGUAUUUGUACCCAUGGAUCCAAGGAAAUGGAAAGCCAUGACAAUUAAGAGUUUACCCUAAUUGUGUAACUAUAUAAGCAUCUUAUUAUUGAGGAAAAAUCGGCCACUAGUAGUAUUCAAGAAAGGGCUAGCCGAUUUUGGUGAGUGUAGAAUUCUCUCAAGUCAUUCUAAGUGUUUUGAUGAUUGUGAUUCCAUUUGAGGUGUCACACUUGGGGCACUAAGCACUCAAGCUUCAUGAAGACUUUCUACAUCAAGAGGUAUGUAUUCUAUCUUGUUACAUUAUUGUUUUGUAUGCUAGAUUAGGAUAAUACCUUGGAAGUUCUUAUUUGCAUGUAUAAUAGAGAAAACAUAGAUCCAAGGUAUUUAGGGUUGCAUGUACACUUAGGAGUGUUAGAAUGCACAAAACCCAACAGACAUAUGGAAGUGCUCGGCCAGGCCAGGAGUGAUUUGAUUUGUUCACUUAGUCAGUCGUCAUAAAUCGGAAAGGAAACAACAAAUGGACAGAGAGAAUGAUUAUAAUCCAUGUCUCAGUCCAUACGAUAUCAAGAAUGGAGGAAUAUAUGAUCCCUUAUCUAAUGGACAAGUCAUCGACAAAGGUCAGAGUUUAUCGACAAGGUCAGAGUUCGACAGAAGCUUUUGAGAGCUACGAUUGCCAGUCGGUUCUUGAAGUCAUACGCAAUAAUAGUUUUAGGCUUAUCCAAGUGGGAGACUGUUGGAUUAAUCUCUAAGUCCAUAACUAUAAUUGGUAAGACUUGACCCGACCAGGCAUGGUCCAUUUGGGUUGCAUGGCAUCAUGCACUUGGAUAGACUAAAUGUCAGAAAUAAGACACUUAUGGUUAUUAAUAUAUUAUAAGUUCUAGUAUAUUAAUAAUAAGAAUAAUAGUAUUUAAUUAGUAUUGAUCAAGAAUUAAUUUAGGAUUAAUUAAGUGAUCAAAAGAAGACUAAUUAAAUAUAUUGGUUGAUUGUGCGAAUCAUCCAUAACUUAUAUAGUGGGCCAAAGCUCCAUGGAUAAUCAAGUUGGGUUAAACCCAUAGGAUGCUCGAUAGGUGCUCCAUGGAGGUUACAUAACCCAUGGGUGAUGGAAAUGAAAGGUCAUGACAAUUAGGGUUUACAUGGUGCAACCCUUAUUGUAACACACUAUAUAAGCAUCAUAUUAUUCACCAAAAUCGGCGACUAGUGUGUGUAAUAGAAGGCGUAGCCGAUUUCAUGAAGUGUAGAUUUUUCUCAUGUUAUUCCAAGUGUAUUUGGUGUUGUGUGAACCAUUUGAGGUGUCACG